rnacentral:rRNA from 1 species
UACGAAGGGGGCUAGCGUUGCUCGGAAUUACUGGGCGUAAAGGGAGCGUAGGCGGGUUAUCAAGUUGGAGGUGAAAGCCCAGGGCUCAACCUUGGAAUUGCCUUCAAAACUGAUAGCCUAGAGUAUGAUAGAGGUAUGUGGAACUCCGAGUGUAGAGGUGAAAUUCGUAGAUAUUAGGAAGAACACCGGUGGCGAAGGCGGUGGGCUGGGCCGGCACUGACGCUGAGGAGCGAAAGCGUGGGGAGCGAACAGG